CUUCCUUCUUCUUCUUCUUUUUUGGACCAGCUUAGCCUCGACGAGCGAGAAUCAUGGAGCCAUCAAUCUGGUCUCGGCACCAACAGGAGCGUACAUUUGCAUGGAGGGGGCACGAGGUCGUCGAUCUAGCCUCGACACUGAUGGGGCGUGCAUGUGUAGGGGAGGCCCAUGGCAGACGGAUAGAUGGAGCUGAUCGAGGCUGUGGAUGCCGGCCUCAAAACUGUCAGAGGCGGAUUGGCAUGCAGGGGGCAUGAAGCCACUUGC
rnacentral:lncRNA from 1 species